rnacentral:lncRNA from 1 species
GGUGACCGUGCGGGUGAGCAGCACCAAGGAGGUGGCGGCAGAGGCCAAGAAGAGUGUGUGUCGCCGCCUGGACUACAUCACACAGAGCCUCCAGCAGCAAGGUGUGCAGACAGAGAAUGUAACUGUGACAAAGGAUUUCAGAAGAGUAGACAAUGCUUACCACAUGGAAGCCGAGGUAGGUACUGGGUGAGUCGGAGUAGCUUGACUUUGUGGAGGCACCAGCAACUUAGACUUACUCUUCAACUGAAACCUACUAGAGAAAUUACUCUUAUGGUGAUGAUAAAAGAUGAUUCUUCUCAAAAUCAUUCUGAUAUUAUAUAUCUGAUCAUGCUCUAAAAUAAAUGUAAUGACAUCUACUUAAGAGAAACGGUGUAAAAUAAGUAAAACUAGCACAUGGAGAGAGCACCGAACCACCACAA